AGCAUGCAAGUCGAACGGCAAGAGAUAGCAAUAUCUCCUAGAGUGGCGGACUGGUGAGUAACACGUGGGUGACAUACCCUUCAGAUGGGGAUAGCUAUUAGAAAUAGUAGAUAAUACCGAAUACGAGCACAGAGGUUAGAGAGCUGUGAGGAAAGGAGCUAAGGCUCCGCUGAAGGAAUGGCCUGCGGCCCAUUAGCUAGUUGGUGAGGUAACGGCCCACCAAGGCGACGAUGGGUAUCCGGCCUGAGAGGGUGUACGGACACAUUGGGACUGAGAUACGGCCCAAACUCCUACGGGAGGCAGCAGCUAAGAAUAUUCCGCAAUGGACGAAAGUCUGACGGAGCGACGCCGCGUGGAUGAAGAAGGCCGGAAGGUUGUAAAAUCCUUUUGCUGAUGAAGAAUAAGUGUGGUAGGGAAUGACCGCAUGAUGACAUUAGUCGGUGAAUAAGCCCCGGCUAACUACGUGCCAGCAGCCGCGGUAACACGUAGGGGGCAAGCGUUGUUCGGAAUUAUUGGGCGUAAAGGGCAUGUAGGCGGUUUCGUAAGCCUGGUGUGAAAUCCUGCAGCUUAACUGCAGAAUUGCAUUGGGUACUGCGAGACUUGAAUCACAGAGGGGAAACUAGAAUUCCAGGUGUAGGGGUGGAAUCUGUAGAUAUCUGGAAGAAUACCGGUGGCGAAGGCGGGUUUCUAGCUGAUGAUUGACGCUGAGGUGCGAAAGUGCGGGGAGCAAACAGGAUUAGAUACCCUGGUAGUCCGCACCGUAAACUAUGUACACUAGGUGUAGGGGCAUGAGUCUCUGUGCCGAAGCUAACGUGAUAAGUGUACCGCCUGGGAAGUAUGCCCGCAAGGGUGAAAC
rnacentral:rRNA from 1 species